rnacentral:rRNA from 1 species
GGUUGAUCCUGCCAGUAGUCAUAUGCUUGUCUCAAAGACUAAGCCAUGCAUGUCUAAGUAUAAGUGUUAUACAGUGAAACUGCGAAUGGCUCAUUAAAACAGUUAUAGUUUAUUUGAUAAUCGAAUUUACAUGGAUAACCGUGGUAAUUCUAGAGCUAAUACAUGCUGGUUAGCCUGACUUUUAGGAAGGGCUGUAUUUAUUAGAUAACAAACCAAUAUUCUUCGUGUCUAUUGUGACGACUCAUAAUAACUGAUCGGAUCGCAUGGGCUUUGCCCGCGACAAAUCAUUCAA